GCCAUCUCUUUUCUUCGUCACGCUGCUUCCUUUUUCUUGAUUCAGGGCCGAAUUUGACUUGCUCAAAACUAGCAUAGUGUUGCAACACUUGUUCUCCAGUCAGAGGUUGUGGAGCCUCCCUAUGUUCUGUCUUGUUGUUAAAACUGACCUUGUUUCUGCGCCACUUGUGGUUCAAAGGCAAAAAGCGACGAUGCCCCAUGUAGCAGUGCUUCCUCGCAUGCUUCAACCAUAAGUAGUCUGUUUCCGUAUGACAGU
rnacentral:lncRNA from 1 species